rnacentral:rRNA from 1 species
GAUGAACGCUGGCGGCGUGCCUAAUACAUGCAAGUCGAGCGAACAGAUGAGGAGCUUGCUCCUCUGACGUUAGCGGCGGACGGGUGAGUAACACGUGGAUAACCUACCUAUAAGACUGGGAUAACUUCGGGAAACCGGAGCUAAUACCGGAUAAUAUAUUGAACCGCAUGGUUCAAUAGUGAAAGACAGUUUUGCUGUCACUUAUAGAUGGAUCCGCGCCGCAUUAGCUAGUUGGUAAGGUAACGGCUUACCAAGGCAACGAUGCGUAGCCGACCUGAGAGGGUGAUCGGCCACACUGGAACUGAGACACGGUCCAGACUCCUACGGGAGGCAGCAGUAGGGAAUCUUCCGCAAUGGGCGAAAGCCUGACGGAGCAACGCCGCGUGAGUGAUGAAGGUCUUCGGAUCGUAAAACUCCGUUAUUAGGGAAGAACAAAUGUGUAAGUAACUAUGCACGUCUUGACGGUACCUAAUCAGAAAGCCACGGCUAACUACGUG